rnacentral:rRNA from 1 species
AAGUAGGUAGCUUAACCUUCGGGGGGGCGCUUACCACUUUGUGAUUCAUGACUGGGGUGAAGUCGUAACAAGGUAACCGUAGGGGAACCUGCGGUUGGAUCACCUCCUUA